rnacentral:rRNA from 1 species
CCUACGGGAGGCAGCAGUGGGGAAUCUUGCGCAAUGGGCGAAAGCCUGACGCAGCCAUGCCGCGUGAAUGAUGAAGGUCUUAGGAUUGUAAAAUUCUUUCACCGGGGACGAUAAUGACGGUACCCGGAGAAGAAGCCCCGGCUAACUUCGUGCCAGCAGCCGCGGUAAUACGAAGGGGGCUAGCGUUGCUCGGAAUUACUGGGCGUAAAGGGAGCGUAGGCGGAUAGUUUAGUCAGAGGUGAAAGCCCAGGGCUCAACCUUGGAAUUGCCUUUGAUACUGGCUAUCUUGAGUACGGAAGAGGUAUGUGGAACUCCGAGUGUAGAGGUGAAAUUCGUAGAUAUUCGGAAGAACACCAGUGGCGAAGGCGACAUACUGGUCCGUUACUGACGCUGAGGCUCGAAAGCGUGGGGAGCGAAACAGGAUUAGAUACCCUGGUAGUCCACGCUGUAAACGAUGAGUGCUAGUUGUCGGCAGGCAUGCCUGUCGGUGACGCAGCUAACGCAUUAAGCACUCCGCCUGGGGAGUACGGUCGCAAGAUUAAAACUCAAAGGAAUUGACGG